rnacentral:rRNA from 1 species
GAUGAACGCUGGCGGCGUGCCUAAUACAUGCAAGUCGAGCGAACAGACGAGGAGCUUGCUCCUCUGACGUUAGCGGCGGACGGGUGAGUAACACGUGGAUAACCUACCUAUAAGACUGGGAUAACUUCGGGAAACCGGAGCUAAUACCGGAUAAUAUAUUGAACCGCAUGGUUCAAUAGUGAAAGACGGUUUUGCUGUCACUUAUAGAUGGAUCCGCGCCGCAUUAGCUAGUUGGUAAGGUAACGGCUUACCAAGGCAACGAUGCGUAGCCGACCUGAGAGGGUGAUAGGCCACACUGGAACUGGGACACGGUCCAGAGUCCUACGGGAGGCAGCAGUAGGGAAUCUUCCGCAAUGGGCGAAAGCCUGACGGAGCAACGCCGCGUGAGUGAUGAAGGUCUUCGGAUCGUAAAACUCUGUUAUUAGGGAAGAACAAAUGUGUAAGUAACUAUGCACGUCUUGACGGUACCUAAUCAGAAAGCCACGGCUAACUACGUG